AUUGAACGCUAGCGGGGUGCUUUACACAUGCAAGUCGAACGAGUGGCGGACGGGUGAGUAAUAUAUAGGAACGUGCCCCGUAGCGGGGGAUCACUAAUCGAAAGAGUCGCUAAUAACGCAUACUAUUGAAGCUGCCGAUAUCGGAUUAGCUAGUUGGUGGGGUAAUGGCUCACCAAGGCCACGAUCCGUAGCGGGUGUGAGAGGAAGAACAGCCACACUGGGACUGAGACACGGCCCAGACUCCUACGGGAGGCAGCAGUGGGGAAUUUUGCACAAUGGGGGAAACCCUGACCCAGCCAUCCCGCGUGUAUGAGAAGGCCUUCGGGUUGUAAAGUACUUUUGGCAGAGAAGCGGUAUCUACAGAAUAAGCACCGGCUAACUACGUGCCAGCAGCCGCGGUAAUUC
rnacentral:rRNA from 1 species